rnacentral:rRNA from 1 species
UACGGAGGAUGCGAGCGUUAUCCGGAUUUAUUGGGUUUAAGGGUGCGUAGGCGGACUGUCAAGUCAGCGGUAAAAUUGAGAGGCUCAACCUCUUCCCGCCGUUGAAACUGGUGGUCUUGAGUGGAUGAGAAGUACGCGGAAUGCGUGGUGUAGCGGUGAAAUGCAUAGAUAUCACGCAGAACUCCGAUUGCGAAGGCAGCGUACCGGCAUCCAACUGACGCUGAGGCACGAAAGCGUGGGGAUCAAACAGG